AUUGAACGCUGGUGGCAGGCUUAACACAUGCAAGUCGAACGGUAACAGGAAUUAGCUUGCUUAUUUGCUGACGAGUGGCGGACGGGUGAGUAAUGCUUGGGAAUCUGGCUUAUGGAGGGGGAUAACUACGGGAAACUGUAGUUAAUACCGCGUAAAAUCUUCGGAUUAAAGGGUGGGACUUUCGAGCCACCUGCCAUAAGCUGAGCCCAAGUGGGAUUUGGUAGUUGGUUAGGUAAAGGCUGACCAAGCCGACGAUCUCUAGCUGGUCUGAGAGGAUGACCAGCCACACUGGAACUGAGACACGGUCCAGACUCCUACGGGAGGCAGCAGUGGGGAAUAUUGCACAAUGGGGGGAAGCCUGAUGCAGCCAUGCCGCGUGAAUGAAGAAGGCCUUCGGGUUGUAAAGUUCUUUCGGUGACGAGGAAGGUUGAUAGGUUAAUAGCCUAUCAAAUUGACGUUAAUCACAGAAGAAGCACCGGCUAACUCCGUG
rnacentral:rRNA from 1 species